rnacentral:rRNA from 1 species
ACGGGAGGCAGCAGUGGGGAAUAUUGGGCAAUGGGCGAAAGCCUGACCCAGCGUCGCCGCGUGAGGGAAGAAGGUCUUCGGAUUGUAAACCUUAGUCAACAGGGAAGAAGCAAGUGACGGUACCUGUGGAGGAAGCCACGGCUAACUACGUGCCAGCAGCCGCGGUAAUACGUAGGGGGCAAGCGUUAUCCGGAUUUACUGGGUGUAAAGGGAGCGCAGGCGGUAACGCAAGCCAGAGGUGAAAACCCGGGGCUCAACCCCGAGGAUUGCCUUUGGAACUGUGGAACUGGAGUGCUGGAGGGGCAGGCGGAAUUCCUGGUGUAGCGGUGAAAUGCGUAGAUAUCAGGAGGAACACCGGUGGCGAAGGCGGCCUGCUGGACAGUAACUGACGCUGAGGCUCGAAAGCGUGGGGAGCAAACAGGAUUAGAUACCCUGGUA